rnacentral:rRNA from 1 species
UACGUAGGGGGCGAGCGUUGUCCGGAGUUACUGGGCGUAAAGCGCACGCAGGCGGUCUGUUAAGUUUGGAGUGACAGUUGGUGGCUUAACUGCCAAAGUGCUUCGAAAACUGACAGACUUGAGGGCUUCAGAGGGACACGGAAUUCCGGGUGGAGUGGUGAAAUGCGUAGAGAUCCGGAGGAACACCAAAGGCGAAGGCGGCUACCUGGACCAGCACUGACACUGAGGCACGAAAGCGUGGGGAGCAAACAGG